GGGUGACUGCGUACCUUUUGUAUAAUGGGUCAGCGACUUAUAUUCUGUAGCAAGGUUAACCGAAUAGGGGAGCCGGAGGGAAACCGAGUCUUAAUUGGGCGUUAAGUUGCAGGGUAUAGACCCGAAACCCGGUGAUCUAGCCAUGGGCAGGUUGAAGGUUGGGUAACACUAACUGGAGGACCGAACCGACUAAUGUUGAAAAAUUAGCGGAUGACCUGUGGCUGGGGGUGAAAGGCCAAUCAAACCGGGAGAUAGCUGGUUCUCCCCGAAAGCUAUUUAGGUAGCGCCUCGUGAAUUCAUCUCCGGGGGUAGAGCACUGUUUCGGCUAGGGGGCCAUCCCGGCUUACCAACCCGAUGCAAACUGCGAAUACCGGAGAAUGUUAUCACGGGAGACACACGGCGGGUGCUAACGUCCGUCGUGAAGAGGGAAACAACCCAGACCGCCAGCUAAGGUCCCAAAGUCAUGGUUAAGUGGGAAACGAUGUGGGAAGGCCCAGACAGCCAGGAUGUUGGCUUAGAAGCAGCCAUCAUUUAAAGAAAGCGUAAUAGCUCACUGGUCGAGUCGGCCUGCGCGGAAGAUGUAACGGGGCUAAACCAU
rnacentral:rRNA from 1 species